GUUUGUGGGUGGUGUUCAGCACCAAGGACAGGUUUAUUUACCUGUUUGUGGGUGGUGUUCAGCACCAAGGACAGGUUUAUUUACCU
rfam:Branchiostoma floridae genomic scaffold BRAFLscaffold_6, whole genome shotgun sequence.